CGUCAACACUAACAGCGUGACGUUUAUCACAAAAAACAAGCACCUUGCAGAGAAACAUAUGCCUGGUGAGUGGGAGAUGCAGGCGGUGCUGCUCGGCAUCAUGUUGUGACAUCAGCACCAGGAGAGUCAUCAGGUGACUGAAUCACUGGGUCAGCAGCCAUGUCAGAGGGGCAGACGGACAAAGCCAGGGAAGCAGACGGCCUAGCUAUGCAGAGCUACUCUAACAGCUCGGCUAAGCUGUCAAAACGUGACAUGUUUUCGGAAGGCUCAGCAACCAUGGAUCAAGAUGGAGAGGUGGAGGUUGAAAUUAGUGAAGAGCUCCCAAAGUCAGAACAACCAAAGAAGUGCCUUGCUCUCCGGACAUGUUGCCACAGGACAUUCAAACCCAUUCAAACACACUACAACCCAUUGCCAGAAAAUGCCACCCUUGGUCAGAGAGUGAAAUAUUUUUUUAUGUGUCCACCCCAUGGGAAAGUAGGAGGCUUUCUGGUGCUGUUGUUCAUGUUCGGAAUCUGGCUCGCUGUUUUGAUCUCCCUGACCGGGGCGGAGGCACUCCCGGGGGGCAACCUGUUUGCGUUGCUGGUGUUGUUUGUCACCUGUUGGUUUGGUGGAUAUUUGGUGUCACUGGUUAAAAACAUCAUCCCUUUCCUGCCGCUUCCACCAUUGCUAGGCAUGCUGCUUGUUGGAGGGUUAUUACGAAAUGUUCCCCAGAUAGCCAUCUCCACCGAUAUACACCGUGCCUGGUCCUCAGGAGCCCGGAAUAUAGCUCUUGGCAUCAUCCUUCUGCGAGCUGGUCUUGGACUGGACCCGUCUGCUCUCCGGAAGCUGUCCUUUGUAGUCGUCAGACUGGCCUUCUCACCAUGCCUCAUGGAGACCACAGCCGAUGCAGUUGCAGCACAUCUCCUGCUCGGCUUCCCCUGGGAGUGGGGCUUCAUGCUUGGGUUUGUGAUCGCAGCAGUGUCCCCGGCCGUGGUGGUCCCCUGCCUGCUGUCUCUGCAGGAAGAUGGGUAUGGGGUAGACAAAGGCAUCCCCACUCUCGUCAUCGCAGCAGCCAGUGUGGAUGAUGUGUUGGCCAUCACUGGCUUCGGUGUUGUGCUGGGCAUUGCCUUCUCACAAGGUAACUUGGCGUGGACGCUGCUGAAGGGCCCCCUGGAGGCUGUGGUGGGCGUCGCCCUGGGGACUGUGGCUGGGGUCAUACUCUGGUACUUCCCACAACGCACCAGUAAGAACCUGGUGUUGUUUCGGUCUGUGAUGCUGGUGGGGUUCGGUCUGAUGGCCAUCUUUCUCUCCACGUACCUAAAGUGGGCGGGGUCCGGACCUCUGGGCUGCCUCACUCUCGCGUUUGUUGCUGCGCUGAAGUGGAGGAAAGAGUUCAAGGAGGGUGAACAGAAUCCAAUUGAGAAUGUUGUGGGUGUCCUGUGGAUGAUUUUUCAACCAUUACUGUUUGGUCUGAUUGCAUCUGAGGUGGAGAUCUCGAGUAUCGACAAGAACACCAUUGGUCUCGGCCUAGCCACUCUUGGAAUCGGAUUGGCAGUAAGGAUGGUGGUGUCCUUCCUGGCAGUGUUCUUCACACCUCUCAACCUCAGGGAGAGGAUGUUCAUUCCCUUUGCAUGGCUGCCCAAAGCCACGGUCCAGGCUGCCAUUGGUGCCAAAGCUUAUGAAAUGGCUAUUUCUGAGGGUAAACCAGAGCUGGAGAAUUUAGGCAAACAGGUUUUAACAUUGGCGGUGUUGUCCAUCUUGGUGACCGCGCCCCUCGGGGCAGCCAUUGUGUCCAUUAUGGGGCCAAGGUUGCUGAAGCAGACACUGAAAGACAAGGGGCUGGCUGUUGGGGUUGCUGAAGUUGCUCUACCUCUUGAGGAUGACGAAGGAGAGAAGGAGGCAGAAGAAGGAGGUCUUAGGGAGAAGAUGCUUCUGUGAGAAGGCCCAGAAGAAAGUAUGGAGUCACAUCUGGCUGGAACAUCGGCUGAAGGUCUUUCGAGAAGAAUGUGUGUGAUUGUAUCUGGUUAGAACACCUAGCUCUUCCCAGAAGAAAGUAUGGAGUCACAUCUGGCUGGAACAUUGGCUGAAGGUCUUUCGAGAAGAAUGUGUGUGAUUGUAUCUGGUUAGAACACCUAGCUCUUCCCAGAAGAAAGUAUGGAGUCACAUCUGGCUGGAACAUUGGCUGAAGGUCUUUUGAGAAGAAUGUGUGUGAUUGUAUCUGGUUAGAACAUCGGCGGAAGCUCUGCCCAGAAGAAAGUAUGGAGUCACAUCUGGCUGGAACAUCGGCUGAAGGUCUUUCGAGAAGAAUGUGUGUGAUUGUAUCUGGUUAGAACAUCGGCGGAAGCUCUGCCCAGAAGAAAGUAUGGAGUCACAUCUGGCUGGAACAUUGGCUGAAGGUCUUUCGAGAAGAAUGUGUGUGAUUGUAUCUGGUUAGAACAUCGGCGGAAGCUCUGCCCAGAAGAAAGUAUGGAGUCACAUCUGGCUGGAACAUUGGCUGAAGCUCUGCCCAGAA
rnacentral:misc_RNA from 1 species